CUCGUUCGCCAGUAUCAAAUUCACAACGACUCUCGGCAACGGAUAUCUCGGCUCUCGCAUCGAUGAAGAACGUAGCGAAAUGCGAUACUUGGUGUGAAUUGCAGAAUCCCGUGAACCAUCGAGUCUUUGAACGCAAGUUGCGCCCGAAGCCGUCAGGUUGA
rnacentral:rRNA from 1 species